UAUUUCAGGCUGUUUGCUAGUUGACCAAUUUGCAUAAUUCACCCAGACCAUGGUCUCAUCACAAUGAUGUAAUGUUAAUGAAUAUUCAUAGUCAGACACUUGAAACAACAAAAAUCUGGAAACUGCUGAAAUGACACCACAGCAAGAGCAACUUUUAGAUAACAUAUACAUGUGCAUUUCACCACAGCGGAUCACGCGCACGUUUUAACCUUUUACCACUUGGAUAGGCCAGGGAACAUUUUAAAGCUGCUUGCUAGUUGAUCUAUUUGCAUAAUUCACCCAGACCAUGGUCUCAUCACAAUGAUGUAAUGUUAAUGAAUAUUCAUAGUCAGACACUUGAAACAACAAAAAUCUGGAAACUGCUGAAAUGAUACCACAGCAGGAGCAACUUUUAGAUAGCAUAUACACGUGCAUUUCACCACAGCGGAUCACGCGCAUGUUGUAACCUUCUACCGCUUGGAUAGGCCAGGGAACAUUUUAAAGCUGUUUGCUAGUUGAUCCAUUUGCAUAAUUCACCCAGACCAUGGUCUCAUCACAAUGAUGUAAUGUUGAUGAAUAUUCAUAGUCAGACACUUGAAACAACAAAAAUCUGGAAACUGCUGAAAUGACACCACAGCAAGAGCAACUUUUAGAUAGCAUAUACAUGUGCAUUUCACCACAGCGGAUCACGCGCACGUUGUAACCUUUUACCGCUUGGAUAGGCCAGGGAACAUUUUAAAGCUGUUUGCUAGUUGACCCAUUUGCAUAAUUCUCCCAGACCAUGGUCUCAUCACAAUGAUGUAAUGUUAAUGAAUAUUCAUAGUCAGACACUUGAAACAACAAAAAUCUGGAAACUGCUGAAAUGACACCACAGCAAGAGCAACUUUUAGAUAGCAUAUACAUGUGCAUUUCACCACAGCGGAUCACGCGCAUGUUGUAACCUUUCACCGCCUUGAUAGGCCAGGGAACAUUUUAAAAAAUUCUGAAGAAAAUUUAGACAUUGCACCUCUGCAACAAGUGGACCAGCCCUGCUUGGCUGAAUGGAGAAUUUUCCUUCCUCUACUGAAUGAAUCAUUUAAAUCGGAUGUUGACUGAUAAAAUAUUGCUUAAGCUUUAAAAUAAAUUGAGGUAUGACUUGUCCACAAUAUCCGUCGUCAACUCAUGUCAAGCGGUUCUUUGGAAUUCACAAUCUGCUACACAGUGAGUUGUCCAGGUAACACAAAACAAAUCCUUUAUUUACCACCACACCAUGCAACCAUUCUCACGGAGAACAGAUAAUGAAUGAGCCAAUAGUACCUGUGGAAACUGGCAUUCUCUUAGUAAAUUGUACAAGCUGUGCUCGUAAUAGAAAGAAAAUGCCCACAUGUAGGCAUUACCUGACUACCCUCUUCAUCUAUGCAGCAGUAGCCAUCUGAUGAUGCUACUUUCCUUUCAACCAUGCAAGCACUUUUGUCUGGUUUAUAUUUAUUCACUUCGGGAUCUUCGUUACUACCUUCUUCAUGGAAAGUAGAUUUCAGUUGACAUGUCUUGGAAUAAGAUAAGCCGGCACAUUUUCCUGUUAAUAAAGAACUUAAAUUUACUGCCAAAUCAUGUUGCAUACCUUUCAUAUCGUUUUAAAUAAUAAUCCAGAUAAUUCUUACCUUCAUUAAAUGGUGGUAAUUUAGGUCUACUUGCCUUAACUUUGGAUGACCCAGUUUCGGGGACAGGUAAUAUUCUGCCCGACUUGGGUUUGUUCUUUUCAUCAGUGUUCUUAUAUAGUAUUAUUUCCUGGACGAGUAGUCUCCAAAAAUGUCACACAGCCUCUCAGAAGCUAUCUGAAAAAGAUCUGAACAUACUCAAGAGACACAAAAGUUCACAACACAAAUAAUUAUCAAAAAUGUUUACUGAUACAUUAUUGAGAAAGUGCCAGCCUAGUGUUGGGGAAUCAAGUGGGGCCGAUGAAGACAACACUAUCCUAGGGGGUCCAUUUUUUGCGAUCAAUGUUUUCUUUUCUUCUUUCUUUUUUUUUGCUUUCCAAAAGGAAGGGGACAGUAAAUCUGCCCCCUGAAUUCCAUCAUCAUUAACAUAUGUUUUCAAUCAUCUCAUUACAAAGCCAUAGCAGUUAACAAAUAAUAAUGGUUUAGCAUCAAUGCUGUAACACUACAACUUUAUCAGUCAGCCCUUCCAAAACUUAAUAUUAUGUUACCAAAAUACAAUAACAGUUUGUUCACGAUUUCGACAUCAUUUUCCUUAUGGCCUUUUAGCUCUAUCGCAUUAGA